CGGCGCAUGCGCGGGUGGGCUGGGUCUGUGUGCUGGGGAGCGCGGAGCCGGAGCAGCUCCGGAGACUUGCUUGGGCUCCGACCGUAGUGUCCACUGCUCUCCUCUGUCGCCACCGCUUUAGCCGCCGCCGCCGCCGCCGCCGCCAGUGGAGCGGCCGCCUAUUGUCUUUCUCCGUGGCGAAGGUGAGGAGCUGUCCCGGCUCGGCCCGCGGGGGAGCCCUGGGUGCCGCACGGUGUCCUCAAGUCCUGGAAAUCCUUGGAAUUAUAUGAAGGGCCCAAAUGGGAUUGGGCAGAGGAUGGAAAAGAGAGCAAGUGGUGCUACACUGAGUUCCACUUCUUGUCCUGGGUCAUGAAAUUUAUUCUGAGAUUUCAUGAAUAAAUGAAAUCAAAGGGACAUGGAUGAAUCUGGAGAACGUCAUCCUCAGCAAACUGACACAAGAACAGAAAAUGAAACACCGCAUAUUCUCACUCAUAGGGCUCUUCUCACUGUCAAGAUACAAAGCAUAGUCUUGUCCCAGAUGGGAUAAAGGAUGCGGGAUGCUGUCAGAUGAUAAAAAAGCCAAGCACACAAAGGAAAGAGAUUCCUCAAGAGGAUGAUGACACAUUAGCCAUGGAUCAAAGAGAAAAGGACCAAGGCCCCCGAACAAUAAGGCAUUUCUCUGGGCGAUUGUGUUGUUACAGUGUUGCUUGCUGAAGAGGACAAAGUUGAAGAUGAUGUAGUAUUUUACUUGGUAUUUUCGGGUUCCACCCUCCAUCACUGUGCAAGUACUUGGAGACAAUUACUCCUGCUUUAUGAACAACCCAGGAUUGGAGUUCUCAUUGUGUCUGCGGAGAGAUUCUGUCAAAUUUUAAGAACAAAUGCACCUUAUAGCUCAUGGAAGAAAAAAAACAAAUCAAGACAUUUUGGGGUUUCAAGUUGCCAAAGUAUGGAACAAAAUCUAUAGGAAGUACAUUGCAGCCAGUGUCAAAUGGGACUCCUGUUAAUUUAUUAGGAACUUCCAAGAAUAGUAACAUCAAAAGUUACAUCAAAAAUAAUGGCUCUGAUUGUUCAUCAUCUCAUUCAUUUAAUUGGAGAAAAGCAAAUAAAUACCAACUUUAUGCACAAGGUGCCGAAGAGCCUAACAAUACUCAAAAUUCACAUGAUAAAAUAAUUGAUCCUGAAAAACUUGUUCCUACUCAAGUAAUGUUUGAUAAAAAUGGGGUAAAGGGAGGUUUGAAAAGUGUUUCAUUAUUCAUGUCAAAGUUGGCAAAGCCAUCCACUAUGUUAGUGUCAUCUAUGGAGGAGUUAAACCAAAAGUCUUUUUCUGGACCAUCUAAUUGGGGUAAAUUUACCAAAGGCACAUUAUUAGGAAGGACUUCAUAUUCUUCGGUCAAUACUCCAAAAUCACAGUUGAAUGGAUUUUAUGGAAACCAGUCGGCUAGUAGCAUGCAAAGGCCUAGAGCAAACUCCUGUGCCACCGGAAGCAGUUCUGGUGAAAGCUUAGCUCAGUCCCCAGACAGUAGUAAACCUAUUAAUUGUGAAAAAAUGGUAAGGUCACAAAGUUUUUCACAUUCCAUUCAGAAUUUAUUCUUUCCACUUUCAUCUAUAACCAGAUCACAUUCCUUUAAUAGAGCUGUGGAUCUUACAAAGCCUUAUCAAAACCAACAGCUAUCCAUUAGAGUGCCUCUACGGUCAAGUAUGCUAACAAGAAAUUCCGACAGUCAGAAGUACUCAAUGGGAGUGAACAUUUAGGGUAUGGGUUUAAUAGGCCUUAUGCUGCUGGUGGAAAGAAGCUGGCUUUACCAAAUGGUCCAGGUAUCUUCUACGUUAGGCUAUAGAAUGGUUCAUCCCUCUCUACUGAAAUCUAGCUGAUCUCCAUUGUCUGGGACUAUCACAGUUUAUGGAAAUCAAAAUUCACCUGCUGACACAUAUGUAGAGGAAGAUGCUGUAGUUUUGGCUGAGGACAGAGCUACUAAUAAGGACCAAGAACUGACUGAAAAUGAAAGUUACAGAAUGAAAAACAACCAGAGCAUGAAACACGAUGCGAAAGCGAGAUAACUGAGUGAUGAUGUGGAUGACAUUUCCUUGUCUUUUUUGUCAUCUUCUGAAAAGAAUGAUUUAAGUGAAGACUUCAGUGGUUAUUUUAUAGAUAUGGAAGACUCUAACAGAACUAGAAUAACUCCAGAGGAAAUGUCUCUCAAAGAAGAGAAGCAUGAAAAUCUGACACCACAGGAUGUAUUUGAUUCCCCCAAGGAAAAUGAAAAAGCCCUCAGUAAAACUGAUGAAUGGAUAGACAUAGGUGUCUCUGACAGGAGUGAAUGUACAAAACAUACUUCUGGGAAUAAUUUAGUUUCACUGGAUACUACAGAGUUGGUCUUCAUUUGAACUCUCUGUCUGCUAGUUUUGAUGGAGGAACAUACAUGUGGAUGAAGAAGUCUUGGAACCCAUUGGAAAUGUCCAUCCAGUUGGGAGCUAUGAGUCUGAAAUGAACAGCAUAGAGAAAGGUACAACUCUGUACCCGGUCUUCCCCAACAGAGCCCGAGCAGCCCUGUUUUUCCCUCUACUUUGCUGCUUUCACAUCUCAUGAGUAAGUACUUCCUAUUCUGUCUCCUUAAUAAUCACAAAAUUUUUUCCUCCACUUUUGUCACUGCCACUGCCUUUUGCAUCAGUCUUCCUUUAGAUAGUCUCUUAAUUGGUCUGUUGCUUUCUUCAGUCCUUCCUUAUUAUACAGACCACUACACCCACAUCUGAAAGAGACUCCUCAACUUUGUAUGGUUUAAUGACUCAAAUUUUCAGAAUAAAAUUAAAACCACCGCAGUGUCAAAUUUGAGGUGGGUUUGUAUCUCAGAUUCCUACACUGUCCAGUAGUGUGAUCUCAGAAAACAACUUCGUAAGCCUUUGUUUGUGUAUCUGCCUACCCUCAUUGAAAUUUUGGACUGUUUUACACAUACAGUGUCUGGCAUGUAGAAGGGACUUCAUCAAUGUUGAAUGAAGAGGAGGCAUUUUAAAGUUCACAUUAAAAAAAAUCAUUU